ACUGAGAUUGAUCCCAUCUGUGCCCUCCAGGCUCUCAUGGAAGGCCUUCAGGUUCUGACCUUGGAGGAUGUUGUAUCUGAUGCUGAUAUCUUUGUUACCACCACCGGUAACAAGGACAUCAUUAUGGUUGACCACAUGAGGAAAAUGAAGAACAAUGCCAUUGUUUGCAACAUUGGUCACUUUGACAAUGAGAUCGACAUGCUGGGACUGGAGAACUACCCCGGUGUGAAGCGCAUCACCAUCAAGCCCCAGACUGACAGGUGGGUGUUCCCUGAGACCAACACCGGCAUCAUUGUGUUGGCUGAGGGUCGUUUGAUGAACUUGGGAUGUGCCACAGGACACCCCAGUUUUGUGAUGUCCUGCUCCUUCACCAACCAGGUGAUUGCCCAGCU
rnacentral:lncRNA from 1 species